rnacentral:lncRNA from 1 species
GUGGACCAAUAAAAUCUUUAUCGCAGGACUUUAUAUGCUAGAGAUUUGUCCCCCAAGUGAUUUUUACAAAUCCCUUCGUGUACUUCUCUAAGCGCAUAGUUGGCAUCUAUAAGUCUCAAACACUUUAGCAAGGAAAGAGAGAACGACCUUUUGUAGAGAUGACCAUCCAUCAUCACAUAUUGAGAGGCCGUCCAUCGAAGUCACUUAGCUUUCGAGGG